UACAAUUUCAAAGAACUUGGAAGGUGCCACUACGCAAUUUCGUAUGAAAUCUCCGGUUUUCACUGAAAAUAGCUUUCGCAAGCCUCUUUUUGAAACAGUAUUUAGAAAAAACGUUGCGGGAUAAAUUUAUGAAAAAUGUAACUGACUUUUCAAAAAAUUUCCUAAUAAGGUGGACAUUUUUUUAAUUUUAAAAUUUUGAUAUAAAUUCAGUCGAACCCUAAUCUUUUCUUAUUUCUCGCUGGUUUUUUCUCUCUCCUCACGAAAGCACCUCUCUCUUCUCGCGAGACGGGGUUUCGUCCGGCGGUGGAGCUUCCGCCGCGCCGCCCCCGCUGCCCUUUUCCAUUCCGUUCACUACUGCCCGCAUGAGGAAGGCACCGUCCUCUAUUUCUGCCGCAUAGCAGAUGGUAGUAGGGGUGUCCGACGACAGCAGCUGCUUUCGGGUGAGCCGGAAAAAAGGAACCAGCUUGGCGGCGGCUAACCCGGUCGACCCACAACCUGCUCCCUGAUCUCCUGCAGAGAUCUGGCACCUUACUGCGUCGACAGAAAACAGAGGGCUUGAUUCUCUGUUAUUCCGCCAGAAGUAGUAAAAAAAAAAAAAACUUCUGUUGGUUUUGAGGAUCGAGCAGACAGAGGUCGUCGGUUAAGGAAAAAAGGAGAAACAAAAAAAAACGUCAGAGGUUAUCUUCCUCUCACCUCCUAUGCUUGUUCCCUUGCCAAACCCUCGAUGAGGGUUUGUAUAGUUUCGAGAGACUGGUUAAAAGGACUUAAGGUCAGUGUUCGUUUCUGUCCUCUGUCUCCUUGGGACACAGUGGUACAGGGAAACAGAAGCAACAUGGAUUAAAGCGUAACAUGAUAUAUCAGAUCUAUGGAACUUUAUGCAAAAUUUCUAACUAGCAUGCUUCAUUCAUUAGAUUAGUAGAUUCUAGCAUGCUCAAGAGUUACGAUCUGAAAAAUGGCAUGUUAACAUAACUGUGAACUCUUGCCGUGCAGACAGAGUAAGCACCACAGGCACUGCUAGGGUCGGAAUUCAGCCGCCUUUACUGUUUCCAUCAUACCACUGAUGGAAACAGAGAAUCGCAGGUAGCGUCCAUCUGUAUACUUCACAGGUACCAACAAAGUCCGAACGUACUUACUUGGUUUCGAAGUCGAAGGGCCGUCUGGCUCUGAUACCACUGAUGGAAACAGAGUAAUGUUAAGGUAGCGGAAGCAGCAGCGCCUCUUCAGCCACGUCUCAGCAGCAGCACCUGUGACAAAAUAGAAGAGAAAGGAAAGCCACUAUCCAACACUGGUGGCUCGCAAUGGGCCACGAAAGCAGGAAGCUAGCUAGGUACUUCAGCAGGACAGUAGCAUCUUCCGAUUGUUUUGUUUUUUUUGGCUACCCACUGUAUCUGGAAGUUGGAUCACAUGCAUUUCGGAGUCAAGUGAAAUACAUCAUUCUGUCUUUGCCUUAUA